UUUUUUGUUUUUGCUGCUUGGGCCGUCACUGCUAUUGGGCCCACUUCAGUCUGCUGUUGAACUGCUGGUGGAGGCUGCUGCAGUUUGGGUCGGAUCCGGGUCGGGUCGGGUUGACCCGACUGUUGUUUUUUUUUUCCUCUUUCUUUUUUCUCUCUUUUUCUUCUUCUUUUUCUUUCUUUUUUCCUUCUUCUUCUUCGGGUCACACCCUAGCCCCGCGCCGUUGCCGUCACUCGCGCCGGUCUCCUCCGCCCUCGGUGGCUAUGGAUGGAGCAACGGCGGUGGUGGAGUCACAACGGCGGUGCGACGACGGUGGUUACGGGAAGAUGGUGGCAGAGGAGGGCAUCAUGGCCUAGGGAGGCUGCUGGAGUAGUUCGGCUGGGGAGGGGUAGGCUCGGCUGUUGCUGCUGCGAUUAGACAAGUCCAGAAGGACCAAAUCGCAUAAGAUGUAAACCUUCCGGGGCGAAAGUGAAAUUUUAGCAAAAAUAUGGGCCAAAAUGUAAUUUCUUGAAAGUUUAGGGGUCAAAAUGUAAUUUAAAAAAUUUUAGGGUUUGAACUGUAAUUUUGAGAAAUUUUAGGAGUCAAAAUGCAAUUUUAGAAAAGUUUAGGGGUCAAAAUGCAAAAAAAAUUAAAAUUUUGUUUAA